UGUGGACUUUCUUUCUUUAACCAACAAUUUUGUCCACCACUGUAAGUGGGUAUGUGUUAGCCUGGGCAGGAGGGUUGCUGGAAGCUCAGAUUCUUACUGGAAGGGGCUGUUCUCACUGGUCUAUGUCAGUUCGUGAGAACCUGCUCAUUUUUGUGGGUAAGGAGGGGCUGAUGCUCAGAGCGCUGGUUUUUAGAGGAAUACUCAGAAUUAUGUGAAUGGAUCAAAAUGCUAUUUUGGAGAUGUUUAUAGUGAGGAAAUAACAUUAUAAAACAUUUAAAUGCUCUAAAAAUAGAAUCUGAAUGGUAUAGGCCUUUCAACUUUAACAAAUAUUUGAAAUAAAACAAGAUUAAUAUCUAUUCAGGUCAUAAUGAUGACUUACAAGAGACAGUCAGGUGGUGAAUCUGAUCCAGAAUACCAGCCGUCAUCUUUCCCAUCAUCAUUGUCAUAUAAAUAUGAGGUCAUCUUAUUGAGGACAUAUAGUACCACAGAACCAGUAGUGGUGACUUGCCGCUCAACAAAAAAGAUCAGAAGAGACAGGCAGGCCUCAAGCUCUGGUAAAAGAAAGCAAAAGGACGCAUCGAAACAUCAUGGUGGCGAUGGUGAUGACAAUGAUGUUGCGUUAAGCUUUGAAAACCUCAGUUAUUAACUGUAGUUUAAGACCUGUAUUAAUUACAUCUCUCUCAGAUGGAGACGGGCAGGUCUCAAACUCUGGUGGACGAAAGAAAAAAGGACGCACCAAAAAGGAUGCACCGAAACAUCGUGGUGGCGAUGAUGAUGACAAUGAUGGAGAUGGAGACGGGAAGGCCUCAAACUCUGGUGGACGAAAGAAAAAGAAGUUAAUUUCAAAGAAAAGAGACUUGCCAAAAGCAAUCAUCAAGAAGCCAUGGAGCCAAGAAGAGAGAACUGCAGUCAAACAAAAGAUGGCCGGCUUUAAUGGACUUAGAAGGGUACCAGGUAAAACAGACUACAGCAUUUACAUCGAGGAGUCUCCCAAACUAAAAAAAAAAGGUCAUGGAAAGAUAUAAAAUACUUUGUCUACAAUAAAAGCAUUAAAGUGUAAAAGAGAAAAAUGAUUUAGGGUUAAUCUGUUUUGCUCUUUUAAUUUAAUGUUAUUUAAUUCAAUGCACAAUUCUGAUUACUUUUAAGUGCAAUAUAUGUUUCUGGAUUUUUUUUGUUAAAAGGUUUCUGUUUAUUUCUAAAAGAUUUUUUUUCUAAAGGUUUUAUAUUGUUCUAAAAAAUGUAUGUUUUUCUAAAGUAUUUAAGUUUUUCUACUAUGAGCAGAUUUGUUGUUCAAAGGUGUUCAAUAAAGAAAAAGCCUGAAAAUACUGUAAUUGAAUUUUAUUUUUCUUUGAAAGCAUGCACAGUCCGUUUUACAAUCAAUUGUUGCAAAAUCAAUUACUUAAAACAAUUGUAGAAUUGAUUAGAAAGAAUUUUUGUAACAUAACUUUCUCCUGGAAUUAAGUUUUAACAUCAAUAUUUCAUCCACAGGAAAACUAAAAACUUUGAGUGUGUUUUCCAUGCUGGUCCUCACUUGCACAGUUGAAAACUUUUAUCAAAAACUUAAUGUUACCCAGAAUCUAACCUCAUAUUGUUAAAAAAGGCGACCUCUGGUGUCCAAAAGGGCGUUUUACACUCAUGUAAGUGAACCAGAAAGGCUGGUCCUCACUUCUCUGGCGAUUUCCCUGGACCUCACUAUGUAGUAUGUGCAAGAAUGUGUGUGUGUGUGUGUGUGUGUGUGUGUGUGACCGGUGUGUCUGAUCGUGCGCUGCAGGAAGGGAGGGGGAACAGCGUGUGGUGUGAGGAGGACAUCCACGC